GGUGCCUUGGAGAAGUGGAAACUCGCUCCCUUUGGGUAACUUCAAGUUGCAAACUUUGGGAGAGAUCAUGGGUUCGAACCCCAUAGGUGCCC
rnacentral:tRNA from 2 species